rnacentral:rRNA from 1 species
GCUUCCCUACGGGAGGCAGCAGUGGGGAAUAUUGCACAAUGGGGGGAACCCUGAUGCAGCGACGCCGCGUGGGUGAAGGAGUACUUCGGUACGUAAAGCCCUAUCAGCAGGAAAGAAAAUGACGGUACCUGACUAAGAAGCCCCGGCUAACUACGUGCCAGCAGCCGCGGUAAUACGUAGGGGGCAAGCGUUAUCCGGAUUUAUUGGGUGUAAAGGGUGCGUAGACGGAGAAACAAGUUGGUUGUGAAAUCCCUCGGCUCAACUGAGGAACUGCAACCAAAACUAUUUCCCUUGAGUGUCGGAGG